GAUGAACGCUGGCGGCGUGCCUAAUACAUGCAAGUCGAACGGUCCCGGCCCUUCGGGGUUUGGGAUAGUGGCGAACGGGUGAGUAACGCGUGGGUGACCUGCCCCGAAGCGGGGGAUAACAGCCUGAAAGGGUUGCUAAUACCCCAUGUGCUGGGUUGGCUUAGCGGCCGGCCCAGGAAAGGCGAAAGCCACUUUGGGAGGGGCCUGCGUCCCAUCAGCUAGUUGGUGUGGUAACGGCGCACCAAGGCGAUGACGGGUAGGGGACCUGAGAGGGUGGCCCCCCCACAAUGGAACUGAAACACGGUCCAUACACCUACGGGUGGCAGCAGUAGGGAAUAUUGCAAAAUGGGCGCAAGCCUGAUGCAGCAACGCCGCGUGGGCGAUGAAGGCCUUCGGGUCGUAAAGCCCUUUUGGGAGGGACGAGGAAGGACGGUACCUCCCGAAUAAGCCUCGGCUAACUACGUG
rnacentral:rRNA from 1 species